rnacentral:rRNA from 1 species
AUUGAACGCUGGCGGCAGGCCUAACACAUGCAAGUCGAGCGGAUGAGAGGAGCUUGCUCCUUGAUUUAGCGGCGGACGGGUGAGUAAUGCCUAGGAAUCUGCCUGGUAGUGGGGGAUAACGUCCGGAAACGGGCGCUAAUACCGCAUACGUCCUACGGGAGAAAGCAGGGGACCUUCGGGCCUUGCGCUAUCAGAUGAGCCUAGGUCGGAUUAGCUCGUUGGUGAGGUAAUGGCUCACCAAGGCUACGAUCCGUAACUGGUCUGAGAGGAUGAUCAGUCACACUGGAACUGAGACACGGUCCAGAAUCCUACGGGAGGCAGCAGUGGGGAAUAUUGGACAAUGGGCGAAAGCCUGAUCCAGCCAUGCCGCGUGUGUGAAGAAGGUCUUCGGAUUGUAAAGCACUUUAAGUUGGGAGGAAGGGCAGUAAAUUAAUACUUUGCUGUUUUGACGUUACCGACAGAAUAAGCACCGGCUAACUUCGUGCCAGCCGCCGCCGUAACAC